AUUGAACGCUGGCGGCAUGCUUUACACAUGCAAGUCGAACGGUAACAGGUUAAGCUGACGAGUGGCGAACGGGUGAGUAAUGCAUCGGAACGUGCCCGGUCGUGGGGGAUAACGCAGCGAAAGCUGCGCUAAUACCGCAUACGAUCUGAGGAUGAAAGCGGGGGACCGUAAGGCCUCGCGCGAUCGGAGCGGCCGAUGUCAGAUUAGGUAGUUGGUGGGGUAAAGGCCCACCAAGCCGACGAUCUGUAGCUGGUCUGAGAGGACGACCAGCCACACUGGGACUGAGACACGGCCCAGACUCCUACGGGAGGCAGCAGUGGGGAAUUUUGGACAAUGGGCGAAAGCCUGAUCCAGCAAUGCCGCGUGCAGGAAGAAGGCCUUCGGGUUGUAAACUGCUUUUGUACGGAGCGAAAAGGACCUUUCUAAUACAAGGGGCUCAUGACGGUACCGUAAGAAUAAGCACCGGCUAACUACGUGCCAGCAGCCGCCGUAA
rnacentral:rRNA from 1 species